rnacentral:rRNA from 1 species
AACGAACGCUGGCGGCAGGCCUAACACAUGCAAGUCGAGCGCCCAGCAAUGGGAGCGGCAGACGGGUGAGUAACGCGUGGGAACCUUCCCAAUGGUACGGAAUAGCUCAGGGAAACUUGAGGUAAUACCGAAUAAGCCCGAAAGGGGAAAGAUUUAUCGCCAUUGGAUGGGCCCGCGUAGGAUUAGCUAGUUGGUGAGGUAAUGGCUCACCAAGGCGACGAUCCUUAGCUGGUUUGAGAGAAUGACCAGCCACACUGGGACUGAGACACGGCCCAGACUCCUACGGGAGGCAACAGUGGGGAAUCUUGGACAAUGGGCGCAAGCCUGAUCCAGCCAUGCCGCGUGAGUGACGAAGGUCUUCGGAUUGUAAAGCUCUUUUGCCAGGGACGAUAAUGACGGUACCUGGAGAAUAAGCCCCGGCUAACUUCGUGCCAGCAGCCGCGGUAAC